rnacentral:rRNA from 1 species
UACGUAGGGUGCGAGCGUUGUCCGGAAUUACUGGGCGUAAAGAGCUCGUAGGUGGUUUGUCGCGUUGUUCGUGAAAACUCACAACUCAAUUGUGGGCGUGCGGGCGAUACGGGCAGACUGGAGUACUGCAGGGGAGACUGGAAUUCCUGGUGUAGCGGUGGAAUGCGCAGAUAUCAGGAGGAACACCAGUGGCGAAGGCGAGUCUCUGGACAUUUCCUGACGCUGAGGCACGAAAGCGUGGGGAGCAAACAGG